rnacentral:sRNA from 1 species
GCUGGGCGCGGUGGCCCUCACCUGUAAUCCCAGUGGCUCGGGAGGCUGAGGCAGGAGGAUCACAAGUCCAAAGCCAGCCUCGGCCAUGGUGAGGAGCUAAGCAACUCAGUGAGACUCUGUCUCUA